rnacentral:tRNA from 1 species
GCGGACGUGGUGGAACCGGUAGACACACGAGACUUAAAAUCUCGAGUUCGUAAGAGCGUGCGGGUUCGAGUCCCGCCGUCCGCACCA